CAGCAGUGGGGAAUAUUGCACAAUGGGCGCAAGCCUGAUGCAGCGACGCCGCGUGAGGGAUGACGGCCUUCGGGUUGUAAACCUCUUUCAGUAUCGACGAAGCGCAAGUGACGGUAGAUACAGAAGAAGCACCGGCCAACUACGUGCCAGCAGCCGCGGUAAUACGUAGGGUGCGAGCGUUGUCCGGAAUUACUGGGCGUAAAGAGCUCGUAGGUGGUUUGUCGCGUUGUUCGUGAAAACUCACAACUCAAUUGUGGGCGUGCGGGCGAUACGGGCAGACUGGAGUACUGCAGGGGAGACUGGAAUUCCUGGUGUAGCGGUGGAAUGCGCAGAUAUCAGGAGGAACACCGGUGGCGAAGGCGGGUCUCUGGGCAGUAACUGACGCUGAGGAGCGAAAGCGUGGGGAGCGAACAGGAUUAGA
rnacentral:rRNA from 1 species